CUGGGGGAGGAGAGGCAUUUUGUAUUUUGAAGAUGAUGGAAAAGAGAAAUACCUUACAUUGAGAAGUGAAACUCUGGCCCGAACUUAACAUAGGCAGAGUUGGUUGCUACGUUUGCAUAUGUGACGUGAAUACCAGAGCCUGACUUGAAGUGCAGUGGCCUGGCUCAUCCUUGAAAGCAGGCUUGACACUCACCUCUGCAUCUCAGCUGACAGCCACGGAGCAGUGCUUGCUUCACAACAGAUUGAUGAGGCUGGGACUGCCUAGCUCGGGAGAUCCGUGCCCAAGACCAGACAGCCUCAGUCCUCAUCACUGCUGCCGCCGCCCAGGGACUUCAUGGUGCUGACCGGAGG
ensembl:lncRNA